rnacentral:rRNA from 1 species
GAUGAACGCUAGCGGCAGGCCUAAUACAUGCAAGUCGGACGGGAUUCAGGAGCUUGCUUCUGAUGAGAGUGGCGCACGGGUGCGUAACACGUAUGUAACCUACCUUUAUCAGGGGGAUAGCCUCUCGAAAGAGAGAUUAAGCCCGCAUAAAAUCACAGCACAGCAUUGUGUAAUGAUCAAAUAUUUAUAGGAUAAUGAUGGGCAUGCGGAACAUUAGCUAGAUGGCGGGGUAACGGCCCACCAUGGCGACGAUGUUUAGGGGAUCUGAGAGGAUGGCCCCCCACACUGGUACUGCGACACGGACCAGACUCCUACGGGAGGCAGCAGUAAGGUAUAUUGGUCAAUGGGCGGAAGCCUGAACCAGCCAUGCCGCGUGCAGGAAGACGGCCAUACGGGUUGUAAACUGCUUUUAUACGGGAAUAAACCCAGAUACGUGUAUCUGGCUGAAUGUACUGUAAGAAUAAGGAUCGGCUAACCCCGUG